UGCAGAAUCCCGUGAAUCAUCGAGUCUUUGAACGCAAGUUGCGCCCGACGCCAUUAGGUCGAGGGCACGCCUGCCUGGGCGUCACGC
rnacentral:rRNA from 2 species